CCUACGGGAGGCAGCAGUAAGGAAUAUUGGGCAAUGCUCGCAAGAGUGAUCCAGCCAUGCCGCGUGCAGGAAGAAUGCCCUAUGGGUAGUAAACUGCUUUUGAACUAGAGAAAAUCCCAGUACGUGUACUGGGCUGAUAGUAUAGUUAGAAUAAGCAUCGGCUAACUUCGUGCCAGCAGCCGCGGUAAGACGAAGGAUGCAAGCGUUAUCCGGAUUCAUUGGGUUUAAAGGGAGCGUAGGUGGACUGAUAAGUCAGUGGUGAAAUCUCCGAGCUUAACUCGGAAAUUGCCAUUGAUACUGUUGGUCUUGAGUACAGUUGCUGUGGGCGGAAUAUGACAUGUAGUGGUGAAAUACAUAGAGAUGUCAUAGAACACCGAUUGCGAAGGCAGCUCACAAAGCUGUAACUGACACUGAGGCUCGAAAGUGCGGGGAUCAAACAGGAUUAGAUACCCUGGUAGUCCGCACCGUAAACGAUGAUUACUCGCUGCUAGGGGGCAACCUUUAGUGGCUUAGCGAAGCGAUAAGUAAUCCACCUGGGGAGUACGCCGGCAACGGUGAAACGUCAAAGGAAUUGACGGCUUGGAGACGNGCGAGACGACACGAGGGAGGAGG
rnacentral:rRNA from 1 species